rnacentral:rRNA from 1 species
AUUGAACGCUGGCGGCAUGCCUUACACAUGCAAGUCGAACGGCAGCACGGGUGCUUGCACCUGGUGGCGAGUGGCGGACGGGGGAGUAAUACAUCGGAACAUGUCCUGUAGUGGGGGAUGGCCCGGCGAAAGCAGGAUUAAUACCGCAUACGAUCUACGGAUGAAAGCGGGGGACCUUCUGGCCUCGCGCUAUAGGGUUGGCCGAUGGCUGAUUAGCUAGCUGGUGGGGUAAAGGCCUACCAAGGCGACGACCAGUAGCUGGUCUGAGAGGACGACCAGCCACACGGGGACUGAGACACGGCCCAGACUCCUACGGGAGGCAGCAGUGGGGAAUCUUGGACGAGGGGCGAAAGCCUGAUCCAGCAAUGCCGCGUGUGUGAAGAAGGCCUUCGGGUUGUAAAGCACUUUUGUCCGGAGAGAAAUCCUUGGCCCUAAUACGGUCGGGGGAUGACGGUACCGGAAGAAUAAGCACCGGCUAACUACGUG